rnacentral:ncRNA from 1 species
CAACCUCAACUCAUAUGGGACUACCCCCUGAAUUUAAGCAUAUUAAUUAGGGGAGGAAAAGAAACUAACAAGGAUUUUCUUAGUAGCGGCGAGCGAAAAGAAAUCAGUUCAGCACUAAGUCACUUUGUCUAUAUGGCAAAUGUGAGAUGCAGUGUACGGAACAUCAACAUUCUAGUAUGAGAAGUUAACGAUUUAAGUCCUUCUUAAAUGAGGCCAUUUACCCAUAGAGGGUGCCAGGCCCGUAUAACGUUAAUGAUUACUAGAUGGUGUUUCCAAAGAGUCGUGUUGCUUGAUAGUGCAGCACUAAGUGGGUGGUAAACUCCAUCUAAAACUAAAUAUAACCAUGAGACCGAUAGUAAACAAGUACCGUGAGGGAAAGUUGAAAAGAACUCUGAAUAGAGAGUUAAAUAGUACGUGAAACUGCUUAGAGGUUAAGCCCGAUGAACCUGAAUAUCCGGUAUGGAAAAUUCAUCAUU